GGGAUCUUGUCCCAUCCUCCUCCGCCGCCAGCCCACUAUCUCCUCCUCCUUGGGAUACCCUCCCGAUCCAAAACCACCAGCCACAGCCGACAACCUUCCCUCCUCGGAUCCGCCGCCGCCACACUAAAAUCCCACAUCGGGAUCCUCCCGGAUCCCCUUCUCCCUCCGCCGACAAGCAUCACCAGCAGGAGCACGCUAGCGCCAUGAAAGCCUCCCGAUGGACCCCGACCUCCUCCUCGCCUCGUCGGUGCACGCCGUCAGGCCGUCGUCUCGUUUUUCUCCUCCUCUUUUCCCUUUAUUUUCUCUCUCGUGCUCUCUUUCUAAUCCUUCACCCUCUCCAUGCGCUUGCCUCUCUGCUAGGAUCCGCAUGGAGCGCCGGCCGGCCUGAGCCGCCCUUCUUCCUCCGCCUUGCCCGUUUGCCGGAGCUCGUGCGCUGUUCUGCAUCGCGCCGCCGCGCCUGCUGGCCUGAUCCGGCCAUCUCCGAAGCCUCCUCACCGACCCGCCCUGGACCCGCUCGUCUCUGCUGCCUGCAUCUUCGCCAUCCCCGUCGCCAAGUCCGCCGUUCAAGAGCCCUUGCCGCCACGCCCGCCUGGAUCCAGCCUGGAUCCGUCGCCGGCGACCAACUCCGUCCCGUUACGGCCAGUUCCCGACAGGUCCCCGUCGAGGACGUCUCGUCAAGUCCCUGCCGCCGCGGCGGGACGUCCCCUGUUUUACCUGUUGCUGUCGCUAUUCUACAGAGCGAGUAGUUUGCCCGCUCGCCUGUGCCUCGCGUUGACCGAGCACGAUGCCGCAGCGCCCACGCGUGGGCCUCCUCUUGCCUCGCCCCGGCCCAAGAGCUUCCUCCAACAAGGCCGGCCCAGCACCGAGGCGCCAAGGUCCAGCUCCCUGGAGCGCUGUGAGCAAACCCCCCUGUGCACUUUUAGCCCAGUCCGAUUCGGCCCAUCUCUGGUUUUUUUUCUCUUCUGUGAUUUGUCUUUUUCCAGGGCUUUAUAGUUUUGCAGAAAAACCCUCUAACUUCAUGCAUUUAAUAUCUCCACAACCGUGCAUCGGAUUAAAACAAUUUAUAUAUGAAAAAUGCUUAAAA